CCCCGCGCCCAAGAUGGCCGCGCCCAUGUGCCGCCGCGGAGGCAGCAGGCACGACUACCGGUUUCUUAUGCUGAGGAUCUAAAGAAAGAGGAAAGCGUGGCUUUGGAAGAUGGAGGGGCGGGAACUCCCCAGGGAGCACAGCAACAAGGAGGCCCGGCCGCGCGGGAGAACGGACUGGGAGAGCGGGCCUCGGCCUCGGAGGCGGCGGACUCGGAUCGCCACGACAGUCCGCGCGGAGCCCGCUCGCCUCCCGCCGCCCGAGACGCCUCCCCAGCCUCUCGUACGACUCGUCGCGGAAAAUGCUCGCACGCUCUCGUCGCUCCAUCUAACCUCAGAGGGAACCACGUCAGAAUCCUUUGUCCCCGAAAGGCGCCGUGUUGUUGCCCAUUGGCUGUGUUGCCCCCCGCCCCCAAAGCCCGCUCCUGCGCGUGCACAGCGCUCGGGCUCCCGGGGCGACGGCGAGCGGAAGUGCUCUGCUGACCCCGAGGGCGGUGCGAGUUGACGCUUGCGGUUGUUAUCUGCCCUGAGACCUCGGGUUCCAGGAGGCAUAGAAUUCCUGAGAGAAAGGAGAUGUCAGGUUGUUAACGGCUUCCGAGGAGAUGUCUUUAAACACAAGUCAUAAAUCUGUCCAGGAAGAGAAAAUAAAUUCACGUGGAAAACCCACAGGAUCUUAGCCGUGUCCCAGGGGAACAGGCUGGAGCUACCAGGCCACGUGUCCAGAUCAUCCCCGCUGUGGGGCAAGAGUGAUUGUUAUUAAGCUGGUGAUGGUGGUCUCAUGGCUGUAGGCACUGAUCUCGACCCUCCUAAUUCUGCCUUCGUAGAUCUCCAUCCUUUGUCAGGGCAGAGCCAGAUGGCCGUGUCCCAGGGAACCUUGACCUUCAGGGACGUGUUUGUGGACUUCACCCUGGAGGAGUGGCAGCAGCUGGACGCCACUCAGAAGAACCUCUGCAGGGAUGUCAUGCUGGAGAACUACAGCCACCUGGUCUCCGUGGGUGAGGGACCCUCCACAGGGUGACUGGAACGCACCCCCUCAUGUCUCCCUCUCUCUCGGCUGCUGCAGCUCAGGGGCGUCUGGGCCCUGAAUGAGUCGGGCCUCAGGCUCACGGUCAAG